GAUGAAGAACGUAGCGAAAUGCGAUACGUAAUGUGAAUUGCAGAUUUCAGUGAAUCAUCGAAUCUUUGAACGCACAUUGCGCCCGCCAGUAUUCUGGCGGGCAUGCCUGUUCGAGCGUCAUUUCAACCAUCAAGCCUUCGCUUGUGUUGGGGCCCCGCGGCUGCCGCGGUCCCCUAAAUCCAGUGGCGGGCUCGUCGUCGUACCGAGCGCAGUAGACAUCCUCGCUCCGGGAACCCGACGGGUGCCGGCCGUGAAACCCCCCACAUCAAGGUUGACCUCGGAUCAGGUAGGAAUACCCGCUGAACUUAAGCAUAUCAAUAAGCGGAGG
rnacentral:misc_RNA from 1 species